GGGGAUAUAUUACAAUUGGUAGUAUACUUUGUUUGCAACAAAGCUGGUGCAGGUUCGAGUCCUGCUAUCUCCA
rnacentral:tRNA from 1 species